rnacentral:rRNA from 1 species
GUAGGUGGCAAGCGUUGUCCGGGAAUUAUUGGGGCGUAAAGCGCGCGCAGGCGGUCCUUUAAGUCUGAUGUGAAAGCCCACGGGCUCAACCGUGGAGGGUCAUUGGAAACUGGAGAACUUGAGUACAGAAGAGGAAAGCGGAAUUCCACGUGUAGCGGUGAAAUGCGUAGAGAUGUGGAGGAACACCAGUGGCGAAGGCGGCUUUCUGGUCUGUAACUGACGCUGAGGCGCGAAAGCGUGGGGAGCAAACAGGAUUAGAUACCCUGGUAGUCCACGCCGUAAACGAUGAGUGCUAAGUGUUAGGGGGUUUCCGCCCCUUAGUGCUGCAGCUAACGCAUUAAGCACUCCGCCUGGGGAGUACGGCCGCAAAGGCUG